rnacentral:rRNA from 1 species
GGGGAUAACUACUGGAAACGGUAGCUAAUACCGCAUAACGUCGCAAGACCAAAGAGGGGGACCUUCGGGCCUCUUGCCAUCGGAUGUGCCCAGAUGGGAUUAGCUUGUUGGUGGGGUAACGGCUCACCAAGGCGACGAUCCCUAGCUGGUCUGAGAGGAUGACCAGCCACACUGGAACUGAGACACGGUCCAGACUCCUACGGGAGGCAGCAGUGGGGAAUAUUGCACAAUGGGCGCAAGCCUGAUGCAGCCAUGCCGCGUGUAUGAAGAAGGCCUUCGGGUUGUAAAGUACUUUCAGCGGGGAGGAAGGGAGUAAAGUUAAUACCUUUACUCAUUGACGUUACCCGCAGAAGAAGCACCGGCUAACUCCGUGCCAGCAGCCGCGGUAAUACGGAGGGUGCAAGCGUUAAUCGGAAUUACUGGGCGUAAAGCGCACGCAGGCGGUUUGUUAAGUCAGAUGUGAAAUCCCCGGGCUCAACCUGGGAACUGCAUCUGAUACUGGCAAGCUUGAGUCUCGUAGAGGGGGGUAGAAUUCCAGGUGUAGCGGUGAAAUGCGUAGAGAUCUGGAGGAAUACCGGUGGCGAAGGCGGCCCCCUGGACGAAGACUGACGCUCAGGUGCGAAAGCGUGGGGAGCAAACAGGAUUAGAUACCCU